ACACUGAUGGUGUAUCGGUAACAUUACUGCCUUCCACAUUACGUAAUCAUGUUUGUCCACGUGGCAAGCACGUAUCAGUGAGCAGUAGCACGGGGUUCGACUCCCCGUCAGUGUA